ACUCAAAGGAAUAGACGGGGGCCCGCACAAGCGGUGGAGCAUGUGGUUUAAUUCGACGCAACGCGAAGAACCUUACCAGCCUUUGACAUGGACAUUGGGGAGACCAGAGAUGGUUUCUUUCAUUUAGUUGGGUGUCACACAGGUGCUGCAUGGCUGUCGUCAGCUCGUGUCGUGAGAUGUUGGGUUAAGUCCCGCAACGAGCGCAACCCUCGCCUUUAGUUGCCAGCAUUAAGUUGGGCACUCUAAAGGAACUGCCUAUGAUAAGUAGGAGGAAGGUGGGGAUGACGUCAAGUCCUCAUGGCCCUUACGGGCUGGGCUACACACGUGCUACAAUGGUUACUACAAUGGGAAGCGAGCCGGAGACGGUGGGCAAAUCUUAUAAAAGUAAUCUCAGUUCGGAUUGAGCUCUGCAACUCGAGCUCAUGAAGUUGGAAUCGCUAGUAAUCGUGGAUCAGCAUGCCACGGUGAAUACGUUCCCGGGCCUUGUACACACCGCCCGU
rnacentral:rRNA from 1 species